rnacentral:rRNA from 1 species
GAUGAACGCUGGCGGCGUGCCUAAUACACGCAAGUCGAGCGAACAGAUGAGGAGCUUGCUCCUCUGACGUUAGCGGCGGACGGGUGAGUAACACGUGGAUAACCUACCUAUAAGACUGGGAUAACUUCGGGAAAUCGGAGCUAAUACCGGAUAAUAUAUUGAACCGCAUGGUUCAAUAGUGAAAGACGGUUUUGCUGUCACUUAUAGAUGGAUCCGCGCCGCAUUAGCUAGUUGGUAAGGUAACGGCUUACCAAGGCAACGAUGCGUAGCCGACCUGAGAGGGUGAUCGGCCACACUGGAACUGAGACACGGUCCAGACUCCUACGGGAGGCAGCAGUAGGGAAUCUUCCGCAAUGGGCGAAAGCCUGACGGAGCAACGCCGCGCGAGUGAUGAAGGUCUUCGGAUCGUAAAACUCUGUUAUUAGGGAAGAACAAAUGUGUAAGUAACUAUGCACGUCUUGACGGUACCUAAUCAGAAAGCCACGGCUAACUACGUG